rnacentral:rRNA from 1 species
AACAGGGAUUACCUCAGUAACGGCGAGUGAAGCGGUAACAGCUCAAAUUUGAAAUCUGCCGCAAGGCCGAGUUGUAAUUUGUAGAAGAUGCUUUGGGUAUGGCCCCGGUCUAAGUUCGUUGGAACACGACGUCAUAGAGGGUGAGAAUCCCGUAUGUGACUGGGUGCUUUUGCCUAUGUAAAGCUCUUUCGACGAGUCGAGUUGUUUGGGAAUGCAGCUCAAAAUGGGUGGUAUAUUUCAUCUAAAGCUAAAUAUUGGCCAGAGACCGAUAGCGCACAAGUAGAGUGAUCGAAAGAUGAAAAGCACUUUGGAAAGAGAGUUAAACAGUACGUGAAAUUGUUGAAAGGGAAGCGCUUGCAACCAGACUUGCACGCUGUUGAUCAUCCAGGCUUCUGUUUGGUGCACUCAACUGCGUUCAGGCCAGCAUCGGUUUUGGUGGUGGGAUAAAGGCCUUGGGAAUGUAGCUUCUUUCGGGGAGUGUUAUAGCCCUCGGUGCAAUGCCGCCUACCGGGACCGAGGACCGCGCUUCGGCUAGGAUGCUGGCGUAAUGGUUGUAAGCGACCCGUCUUGAAACACGGACCAAGGAGUCUAACAUCUAUGCGAGUGUUUGGGUGUCAAACCCAUACGCGUAAUUAACGUGAACGGAGGUGAGAACCCUUAAGGGUGCAUCAUCGACCGAUCCUGAUGUCUUCGGAUGGAUUUGAGUAAGAGCAUAGCUGUUGGGACCCGAAAGAUGGUGAACUAUGCCUGAAUAGGGUGAAGCCAGAGGAAACUCUGGUGGAGGCUCGCAGCGGUUCUGACGUGCAAAUCGAUCGUCAAAUUUGGGUAUAGGGGCGAAAGACUAAUCGA